rnacentral:rRNA from 1 species
AGCGAACGCUGGCGGCAGGCUUAACAUAUGCAAGUCGAGCGGGCGUAGCAAUACGUCAGCGGCAGACGGGUGAGUAACGCGUGGGAACGUACCUUUUGGUUCGGAACAACACAGGGAAACUUGUGCUAAUACCGGAUAAGCCCUUACGGGGAAAGAUUUAUCGCCGAAAGAUCGGCCCGCGUCUGAUUAGCUAGUUGGUGAGGUAACGGCUCACCAAGGCGACGAUCAGUAGCUGGUCUGAGAGGAUGAUCAGCCACAUUGGGACUGAGACACGGCCCAAACUCCUACGGGAGGCAGCAGUGGGGAAUAUUGGACAAUGGGCGCAAGCCUGAUCCAGCCAUGCCGCGUGAGUGAUGAAGGCCCUAGGGUUGUAAAGCUCUUUUGUGCGGGAAGAUAAUGACGGUACCGCAAGAAUAAGCCCCGGCUAACUUCGUGCCAGCAGCCGCGGUAAU